rnacentral:misc_RNA from 1 species
GCCCCUGAAAGCCGCUCUCAAGCGCGGUGCACUCAUCACGGCUGCCAACUGGCCCCUGGUUGCGGUGCAGUUCAUCGCCGAGGCGACACUGAAGCUGCUGCUGGCAGUCCCGGUGAUCGGCGGGUUGUUUCUCGCCGUCCUGCUGCU